rnacentral:misc_RNA from 1 species
UGUGGGAGGGGGCUUGCCCCCGAUAACGGUGUGUCAGCUAUAAAUUGGCUGACUGAUCCACCUAUAUCGGGGGCAAGCCCCCUCCCACA